rnacentral:rRNA from 1 species
UGGGGAAUUUUGGACAAUGGGGGAAACCCUGAUCCAGCCAUCCCGCGUGUGCGAUGAAGGCCUUCGGGUUGUAAAGCACUUUUGGCAGGAAAGAAACGUCAUGGGUUAAUACCCCGUGAAACUGACGGUACCUGCAGAAUAAGCACCGGCUAACUACGUGCCAGCAGCCGCGGUAAUACGUAGGGUGCAAGCGUUAAUCGGAAUUACUGGGCGUAAAGCGUGCGCAGGCGGUUCGGAAAGAAAGAUGUGAAAUCCCAGAGCUCAACUUUGGAACUGCAUUUUUAACUACCGGGCUAGAGUGUGUCAGAGGGAGGUGGAAUUCCGCGUGUAGCAGUGAAAUGCGUAGAUAUGCGGAGGAACACCGAUGGCGAAGGCAGCCUCCUGGGAUAACACGGACGCUCAUGAACGAAAGCGUGGGGAGCAAACAGG